GUUUGCCUUUCAUUUUAAUGCCAAAUUUUCUAAGUGUAAGAAAGGAGGGUGGAGAGUGGGCAGAAGUCAUUGUUUCCAUCAUGAAAGUCAACAUCAGUAUUUCCUGUCCUGGGGACAAACCAGUGCCUCAUGUUUCUGGAAACGCUGCAGCAUUUGACUUCAAUUUUAAGCUGGAUAACGCCAAAGCUUUUCCUCAAAUUCGCCACUGGAGUAAGCUCAUAGAUGCUCUGAUUUUGUUUAUCGUUGCUCCUCCUUAAUAUCUCUUGCACAGGUGCCGUUGACCUUUAGAUGGGCUGUACAGUGUGGGGUUUGGUGCCAGGGAUCUGCUUCUUCGGGGACCAGGAUCUUGAGAUCUUCAGGCUGGGUUUCCAUGGAGGCAUGGAGCUGCUUUUCCUCCUUCAUAACUGUACUCAAAACAGCCCUGUUGCUCUAGAAUGGAGACUUGGGCAACUCCUACUGGCACAGAUUUGUUCACCUCAGGGGAAAUUCAGAUAGAAGCAAGCUGCAGUCAGUUUCACCUGUAAGUCCGUGGGUUCUCAACUGGUAAUGUCCUCUUAUGGAUGUUAGCCCACGAGGUCAAUCCUGUAGCAAUCUAAGGCUUGAGAAGAAUUAAUCUUCUGGAAAAUUCCAAGAAUACAUCUUAGGGAAACUGGCUCUACUUUUAUGACUUGGAUAACACAAGGAUAUGCUUUUCAUGUUGGACUAGAACUCAGAGUAUUGGCCAACGGAUGUGUUUUCUAAAACUAUCCCAGUGAGUUCACCAUACAGAUGAAGAUUCUGAGAUUCAAGACUCAAGACUGAAGAAGAUCAUUAUUUUUAUUAUUUUAGUCUGAUGCGCAAAAUGGUAUCUACUGAAUAGGCAGGUUUUUAAUAGGUAGCUUAUAUAUAUUAGCAAAAAUAAACACUUUGUCUUUUAGAUCUAUUCCAGUUUUUCAGUAGCUGUAGACUUAAGUGCUAACUUUUAGCCCAUAGGAUAAGAAGAAACCAAGUCCUAAAAGUAGGCCAGCAUCAGGAUUCAGGCCUCUGACUUCAAGCCAAGGGUUCAUCAUCUUCUAUCAUGCACGAAUUUUUACAUAGCGCCAGAAGAAACUGCCUGUACUUACUGUUGUAGGUGCUUUGCUGGAUUCAGGAUGCAGACAAGGUCCACGCACUGUGGUUGGAGCCACUUUGUAUGAAUGCUGUGCACUUCCUGCUGUACCUUCAUCACAUCAGGAAGCAACAAUGUCUGGCCUUCUCGCUUUUAAUGUUGUUAAGAUUGUUCAGUCCUGGAGCAGACACAGCCUUGUUUGCAGAGAGCCAACAUUCUAAUUGACGGUGCAUGGUGGGAAACAGUGAAUGGAGGGAAAGAGUGCCAAUGUCAGAGAGCUACAGUGCAGUGAAGAAGAGAAGGCAAGAGGAUGUGAUGCAAAAUCACAGGACUUGGCUUCCAGACCAUUCUGCUUCCAUGAGAACAUUUUAGUUGAGAACCGGAUGGCAUGAAAAAAAGCAAUACAGUGGAAAGAGGAUGGGAUCUGGUGCCUCUCAGACAGGAUUCCACUUGCAAGCCGUGUGACAUGGGGCAGCCCACCCGAUCCUGGACCUCCACAAAUCCCUCUGCGACGUGGAGACAAUCAGAUUUCCCCACAGAGACUCCAUGAAGGGCCCCUGAGCGCACUCUCCGGUUAGCCACUGAUGCAUUCACGAGGAAGAGGAAGAGUUAAAUGCUUCUUUUGAGGAAGCGGUGGUGGCCAAGUGCUGUGGGCACUGUGAGAUCAGAGCUGACAGCCCAGAAUGUGAAUCGCAGGCCUCACCAGGGCCAUCGUGUGUUGCAGGGAGCUCUUCCCAAGUGCUCACUUUUACUAAAUUACAAAAAAUACAUAACAGGAGAGUUUCUUUGUGUUUUAAAAAUCAAUGACCAAUUUUUGUUUUGUUUUGUUUUUAAAAUACAGUGUUUUCAGAGAUAAGAGUAUUAUAUUGGAAAGCUGUUGUGACACAGAAAAUUACAUGAGCUUGUAGUUGAUUAAAACAGUCAAGUUGACCUACAUAUCAUCUCAGUGCACAGCAAGGAAGCAUCUUCAGCUUAGAAAAUUGCUGGCAUGAACACAAACAAAUCUAGUUCUUUGAAACGAGAAUUUUCAGAUUUUGGAUUUGUGGUGAGAAAUAGCUAAGUCCCAGGGCCGGGCACGGUGGCUCGUGCUUGUAAUCCCAGCACUUUGGGAUGCCAAGGCGGGUGGAUCACCUGAGAUCAGGAGUUCGAGACCAGCCUGGCCAACAUGGUGAAACCCUGUCUGUACUAAAAAUACAAACAUUAGCUGGGCGUGGUGGCGAGCACCUGUAAUCCCAGCUACUCGGGAGGCUGAGGCAGAAGAAUUGACUGAACCCGGGAGGUGGAAGUUGCAGUGAGCUGAGAUCAUACCAUUGUACUCCAGCCUGGGCAAGAAGAGCGAAACUCCUUCUCAAAAAAAAAAAAAAAAAAAAAAAAAAGAAAAAAAGAAAGAAAAGAAAAAAGAAAAAACCUGCUGAGUCCUGAAAUACUGAUAAAAUGACCAACUCUGUUCACGUUCAAAACUUGACACUUUCAGUGUCAGGGUGACCAGGAAUCGUGGCUGUAAAGGAAGCCUGAGACUUCUCUGGUUCUAGCAUGAAAGAAUUUUCCAAAACUAUGUAGAUGCUGGGGCCUUAGAAGUUUGACAUUAGUGUAAAUGAAUGUAUUCUCAACAAGAAUAUAGACGAGUUUGCACUGAAUUCAGAAUACUUAACUCCAGACUUACAAGAGAUUAAAUAAUUCUUUAAAAUGGAUUCUCAGGCACUUUAUUUAUGCUACUCAUGAGAGCUACACUGGCAAGGGAGGUCACAGUUUCUGACGUGCCUUUUUUCUAAACUUCUGACUUUGUACACACGCAGAACAUAUAUUUAACUGUUGGGAUCCCAGUUUUCUAUAUUGGGAGAUUUUUCUUUAUAUUUUUUACCUUUCGAUAAAGUAGAUCUUUAGAAAUUAGAAUUCCUGAGGUUCUAGUACUGUCAAAUUUGCGUUGUUGGGAAUGCUGAGGUUUAACCUUGACUCCUUCAAAUGAAUGCUGGGUGAACUUGUCUAAACUCCUGUUCCUCUCAUUCAGUUUCUCCCUCUGUGAAGCAGAGGCAAUGGCACUCCCUCCUUUUAAAAUCCUUAAGGUUUGGGAAAGGUUUUCAGAGUAGUCAAAUAAUUUAAUACCCUUAGGUAAAAUGUGCUCUCAAAUUGUAUUUCUAGCCAUGGAAAUGAAGAUUAGUCUCUUCAGUUUUUUUCUUAGUCGGAAUGGCCACUGGGAGAUUCUGCUAAAAUAAAAGAUUUUUUUAAAAAACA